GCCUGUUCAGUUUGUUCCUCUGCUCCAAGUGCCAGCCUUCUCAACAGCUGACCCUGUUUACUUCUUUUCUUCUUGGCUCCUGCCUUGGCAACGUGUGCCCAGAGCCCAGAUGAGAACCUUACCAUGAGACUCCAGCUGCUAGCUGGGUUAAAGACAACUCUGGACAGCUGAAGACUCAGCAUGGACUGAAAAUUGGAACUCUGUCCCAGCUAAGAAAAUUCAAACAAGUAAUAUGUGUUCAUUGUACACAGUGCUACGGGGACAGGAGGCGGGUGCUGAUUGGCAGGAUGGGGACAGAACAUGGCACUCAUCAAAACCGCUCCCAAAGAGGCCAAGCAUGAAGACAUUCUUGGAGUCUGUUGUCCGGUGCUGUCGGAAGUGGGCUGUGACAGCAAUCUCUGCUGGCCUUGCCCAACCGGUUCCUGCUGCCUUUCAUGCUGAGAUUCCUGGGGGUGGUUAUGUUUAUUCUGUAAUGGCUGCCAGCAUACUUCACUUGGCUCUGAGUUAAAGAAUAAAAGCCCUGGGACGGGAACAGGUUCCCGAAGCUCCUGCCCAGUCCCAUUUGUGACCGAGGGGACCUGUCUUGGACACUCUUCCUUCUCAGUUUACCAAGGGUUGCGAUAGGAGUCAAUAAAAUCACUGGCUUCCUCAAA